UAUAAUUGAAGAGAAGGGAGAAGUACCAGACAAGAAGGAAUUUGUAUUCUGUGCAUACUGAGGAAAGAAUAGGGAAUUAUAAGACUCUUGUUCAGGAGAUCAGAUGGGAGAUGAUACCUAAUUAAAUAUGAGAGAAUAAUGUCAGUCUGAAAUAAAACAGUAUCAAUGUAGACAAAAGUAAUUAUCAAGAUUCUUAAGAGGAAGAGUGGAUAAAAUUUAGAGAAAGACUGAAUGUGGUCAGUAAAGAGGGAAAAGACUAGAGUGACCCCCAUGCAUAUGGCAUGAGUGGCAUGGUAUUAAGUGCACCACAAACCAGGGCAAAAAUGAAAGUUGUUUUCAAAGGAGCCAGAUCCUCUGGUUUUCUGUACUUAAGAAUUCCAUGUGCAUCUUUAAGAUGUAAAUAUGCCUAGCGAGCCUGAAUGAAAGCAUUAUCUAUUUACUAGAGUUUUCUGUGACAGUGGCUGCCACUUUCCUUAAUUCCUUGGUUAGGCAACAAUAUAUCAUUUGGUUCUCUUUUGCAGUCCAAAAAAUAAAACAAACAAACAAAAAACACAGAGCAAAGCACACAUAAUAUCUCCCUUCAUACCUAAUCCACCAAACUCACAGGAAGAAUCUAUUUUCAUCUUUUUCUAAAUAUUUAAAUAGCUUUAUUUAUGUUAUCUUAUCAAUAUUUACAUUAUGGCAUGUGCUAAGGAAUAAUUUAGUCCUAUUUUUAAAGGGCAAAGAGAGGUUAAGUGGCUCUUCUGGGGAAUCUGGAAAUAAAAGGCCUCAUUCUAUAAUCAGUUCUUUCUGUGUACAGCAACUGGCAAAUUGUUAUUGAUAUUUUAGGUGGCUUGAGUUGUUAGAAUAUGUAUUUACUAGUAAACAAUGAGCUGAGAAGCAGAAGGGGAAUUGAAGAAGUUUUUUUUUU